CUGUUCCUGAGCUCGUGACUCUUCAGCUCCCGUUACAUGCCAGGCAUCAUGCUGGGUGUUGUACAUGGGUUAUAUCCUUUAAUUCUUCCACCAAGCCAAAUGGCAUAGGAAUCCUUAGCUCUGAUUUGUAGGUGAAGAAACAAGCUCAGGGAGAUGGAAUUACUUAUUUGAGGUCAUCUAGCAAGUGAAUUGCAGAACUCGAACCCCUGUCUUCUGGGGCAAAGAUGGAGAGCUCGGGAUAACUCUCCAGAGUGGGAUCAUUGAUGCUACUGCAUCAGAUGCUUUCUGUCUCCAUCCUUAACUGUGGCCCGGGAAGGUGCAGAUUCACCUGAAGGUGCUCCCUAAGAAGUGACAAAGAAGGCCACUAACAGCUCUGGGCUCGAGACAUUCCCACUUGGCAACUUCUCAACUGUUCUGGCAAAAGCCAGGAGAGUGGAGGUCUUCCCCACCCGGACUACAUAAGCUGAGGGUGGGGUUUUUCAAAGAAAAGCUUAUUAUAGGAAGAAGGGUAAACAGACACUAGGAAGCUUCUGAUUAUUAUACCUAGUGAUUCUGUGAGCCUUUACUGCACAAACUGUUCCCAAACUUAAUUAUUUAAAACAAUGUAUUAUUUCUCACAAUUCUGUGAUUAGCUGGGCUCAGGUGGCAGUUCUGCUUAUGCUGUGGAUUGGCUAUGCUAGAGGGUCUGGGAUGUCCUCCCUCACAUGUAUGGAGCUGGCUGUUGGCUUCUCUCUCUACCUGGUCUGUGGUCGCCACAUGGUCUAGCCCAAACUUCCUUUCACAGGGUCAGGAACGGAAGCUGCAUGAGCACUUAAGUCCUAACCUUGGAAGUCGUACAGUCAUGUUACUGAAUUCUCUGAUCAAAGCAACUCACAAGACUAGUUCAGAUUCAAGAGACUGGGAAAUGGACCCCCCCCCUCCCCCGCCCGCCCGAUCUUGAUGGGAGCAAUGAUAAAGUCACAUUGCAAAAGGACACAGGCACAGGGAGGCAAUGAUUCAUGGGAGGCCAUUAUUGAAACAAUCAACUGUGUUCCACAACUCGCCUCUUCUAGUUCCUUUCACUAAGCCUCCUCCCACCCCAGCAACCUGGCUCCUUUGACCUUCAUGACCACUAGAGGAUCAUCUCCCUCAAUAAGUCUUUCCGGCCAGGUGCGGUGGCUCACGUCUGCAAUCCCAGCACUCUGGUAGGCCGAGGUGGGAGGAUCGUUUGAGCUCAGGAGUUCAAGACCAGCCUGGGCAACACAGUGGGACCUUGUGUCUACAAAAAAUAAGAUAAUUAGCUGGGUGUGGUGGUGUGCGCCUGUAGUCCCAGCUACUCGGGAGGCUGAGGUGGGAGGAUCACUUGAGUCAGUGAGGUCGAGGCUGCAAUGAGCUGUGUUUGCACCACUGCAUUCCAGCCUGUGUGACAGAGUGAGACGCUGUUUCAAAAAACAAACAAAAUAAAUGUCUUUCCUGUGAAAUCCCAGCAAUGGUCCCUACCAGACCAUACCCAUUUUUAUUCAUUUAUUCAUUAAUGUAUUCAAUCACCAAGCAGUUAUUAAAACAUAAGCACAGUCCUAUGCUAGGGACCAGGGAUGCAGUAUCAUAAGACCCAAUUCCUGCCCUCAAGCAGUUUCUAGUCUAAAAGAAGAGACAGGGAAUUAGAUCAUCGUAACACAGCAUAUUAAGGGCUAUGCUAGAGGGGAACACAGGGCAUCUGGGAACACAAAGGGCAGCCAACUUGGCCUUGGGGGCCAGUGAUCUCUGGAUGAGUGGAGGUCCCCAGGUUGACAAGGGGAGCUGGAGCAAGUAUUAGGCAGAAAUCUUGGUUGCAAGUUAUAGAAACUCAACUGACUUAAAGAAAAGUCAUAACUAAAAAGUCCUGGGGGAUAUUAGCUUCAGGCAUAGCUGGAUCCAGGUAGUCAUCAGAAAUGAGUCUCUCCUUAUCUGGAGUACAGUGGUGUGAUCUCGGCUCACUGCAACCUCCGCCUCACGGGUUCAAGCAAUACUCCUGCCUCAGCCUCCUGAGUAGCUGGGACUACAGACGUGCGCCACCACGCCUGACUAAUUUUUGUAUUUUUAGUAGAGACAGGGUUUCAUCAUGUUGGCCAGCUGGCCUUGAACUCCUGACUUCAAGUAAUCUGCCUGCUUUGGCCUCCCAAAGUACUGGGGUUACAGGUGUGAGCCACCGAGCCCGGCCUCCUCUGUGUUGGCUUAGUUCUGAAGCAGGCUGUCCUUACAUGCUGGACACUAACAGCUGAAGACUAUGACUGUGAUUACUCAGUCGGGUCACAGGCUCACUCCUGGAAUCAGAGAGCAGGGCCAGUCCCUCGGAACCACAGGAUCUGAGAAUGGAGCAGGUUUGUCACCCAAAGGAGAAAAGGAAAAGAAGGGCUGUGGAGCUGGCCUGACAUCAGGUGUACUUCUAGACAGGUGACUAAGUUACAGCCCUCAAACAGAGAGGGCCUCCUGAGGGAAAUGUCCUGAGGGAAGGGGAAAUCGGCCUUGGGAAUGAGCAGAAGUGCUAAGAUCAAAUCUCUCUCCAAGGCUACUUCUUGGUUGUGUAAGCUCUGCAAGACUUUGUCCCUGACUUUCUCCUGUGAAAUCAAGUCUUUGCCAGUUGUCCUGAGGGUUAACUGAAAUAGCAUAUACAGGGGCUCGUGAAGUCACCCUGUUCUCUUCCCAUUAAAUCAAACAGUAAAGUCCCAGGGCUGGUCUACCUUGCUAGAAAAAAGAAGCUGACUCCACCUAGUGGCUAAUGGGGUCAUUGCACUGAAGAGUUGAACAUUUACAGAACUGCGUUCUGAUAUUCCUAGACAGAUGAAGCAGCAUAUAUGAACAGUAAGCUUGGGAGAGACAGGCCGGGGACGGGUCUGCCCUGUCUCUGUAACAGGGCUUUGCACAGGGCAGAGAGGUGAGGUUAGGUGGAUGGAUGGUCAGAGGGAGAAAGUGUUCUUCCUAUUGUAUUUUACACUAGUGACUGCUCAUCAGAGCAUCUGGUUUGGGGGUGGGGACAGCUCAUCUGGCAGGGACUGCUGUGAGGGAAGGAAGGGCUUUCUUCUUCUUCUUCUUUUUUUUUUUUUGAGACAGAGUCUCGCUCUGUCGCCCAGGCUGGAGUGCAGUGGCACGAUCUCAGCUCACUGCAAGCUCCGCCUCCCGGGUUCAUGCCAUUCUCCUGCCUCAGCCUCCCGGUAGCUGGGACUACAGGCACCCGCCACUACGACCAGCUAAUUUUUUGUAUUUUUAGUAGAGAUGGGGUUUCACCGUGUUAGCCAGGAUGGUCUCGAUCUCCUAACCUUGUGAUCCGCCCACCUCAGCCUCCCAAAGUGCUGGGAUUACAGGCGUGAGCCACCGCGCCUGGCGCCUGGCCCCUUUUUUCUUUCUUUCUUUUUUUUUUUUUUAAGAGGCUCCCAUUAUGUUGCCCAGGCUGGAUUUGAACUCCUGGGCUCAAGCGAUCCUCCUGCCUCAGCCUCCCGAGCAGAUGGGAUUGCAGGCACGUGCACCACACCUGGCUUAGGGCUCUGGGAGGAAACUCUACCUGUUCAUUGCUACUUCUUCAGGAUUUGAGCUGGGAACUGUGAUUUCUUCUAACUUCCACUUCACAAGGCCUCAGGUCACAUAUAGCUGGUGGCAGUGCUCAGACCAACACUUAGGGCUCCUGAAUCCCAGGCCCUUGUCCCUCAUGCCACCCCUCAUUGGCUGCUAUACAGGUACAUGUCUAGAUCUGUGUCUGCACUGGUGGGUUGUUAUAUUCAAACAGCUGCUUUGCAUCUAGCUCUGGGCUAAGAGUAUGCUUCCACUUCCUCUUGGUUCCAUUUCAUGCAUGAUUCCAUUUCUUCCCCUCAGGUGUGACACCUCAGUAGUGUCACUGGCCAAAGAGCCUUGGGCCUGGGAUAAGCAGGGGCUCCCCAGUAGUGGAGGGUGACUUUUCGCUGGGCCCCAGUAAAGAAUCACUUCUAGCCACUAUGCUACUUUUCCCCCCGCCUCAGUCAGACCGGAUUACUGAAUCUUAUUACAUGGGGCUAUGCCAGAUGCCAUCUGCUUGUGGCCUUACCCCCGCUCCAGGGGGACUCAGGGCUUACUUCAGGUCAACAAUAGAAAGAGCAGCAGCUAUCAUUUAUAUAGCAUUUAUCAUGUGUAAGGCACUAUUAUUUCAUAUCCACCUAUUCUUUUAAUUCUCAUGAUCACCCUGUGAGGUAGGUACUAAUGUUCCACCCCGAGGCAGCUUUGCGAUGGCAGAGCUGGGAUCUGAACCUUAGCUGCUUGCUUCCCAGAACCUGAGUUUUCGCCACUACGCUAGACUGCCUCUCCAGAGCUGAUGCCUCUCUGAGACCCUCCCUAGGCACUGGAGCCAUGAGCAGGGGCUCCCUCAUAUGCUUGCCUGCUGUAUUGUGGGUCCUGGGUAUUGAUUUCUGAGGCCAUUCGAGGCUACAAAAUUCAAACCUGUCUUGAGCAUGCUAAAAGUAAGAAGGGCCCUGAUUUCAAGUCAGGAACUAUGGAUUCAAAUUCCUGGGUACCACCAGAAUGGCCAAUAUUAAAAAAACUGACAACACCAAGUGCUAACCAAGACGUGGAGCUGCUGGAGCUCCCACACACUGCUGGUGAGGAUGUAAGUCAAUAGAGCCACUUUGGAAAACUGUUUGGCAGUGUCUAGACAAGCUAAACAUAUGCCUACUCUAUGAUUCCACGCCUGAGUAGAUGAGUGAACAUGUGUACCAAGCAGCAUGUAAAAAAUCCUUCACAGCAGUUUUAUUUAUGAUACCCCCAAACUAGAAACAACCCAGUUGUCCCUCAACAGGAUGGCUGGGCCAGGCUUGGUGGCUCACGCUUGUAAUCCCAGCACUUUGGGAGGCUAAGGUGGGUGGAUCGCUUGAGCCCAGGAGUUUGAGACCAGCCUGGGCAACAGGGUGAGACGCCAUCCCUACAAAAAAUACGAAAAACUAGCUGGCAUGGUGGCAUGUGCCUGUAGUCCCAGCUACUUGGGAGGCUGAGGCGGGAGGAUCACUUGAGCCCAGGAGUUCGAGACCAGCCUGGGCAACAGAGACUCCAUCUCUACAAAAAAUAGAAAAAAUUAGCUGGUGUGGUGGCAUGUGCCUGUAGUCUCAGCUACUUGGGAGGCUGAGGUGGGAGGAUCACUUGAGCCCAGGAGGUCGAGGCUGCAGUGAGUCUUGAUGGCACCACUGCAUUCCAGCCUGGGGGCCAGAGUGAGAACAUCUCAAAAACAAAAACAAAAAAGUAGGAUGGCUAAAUUGUGCUAUAUUCAAAUAAAGGACCACUACACAGCACGAAAAAACUCAACUUGUUUUUUUUUUUUUGAGACAGAGUCUUACUACGUCACCUAGGCUGGAGUGCAGUGGCGCGAUCUCAGCUCACUUGCAACCUCCGCCUCCCAGGUUCAAGCGAUUCUCCUGCCUCAGCGAGCAGCUGAGAUUACAGGCAUCCACCACCACGACCAGCUAAUUUUUGUAUUUUUAGUAGAGACAGGGUUUCACCAUGUUGGCUAGGCUGGUCUGGAACUCCUGACCUCAAGUGAUGCGCCCGCCUCGGCCUCCCAAAGAGCUGGGAUUACAGGCAUGAGCCACUGCGCCUGGCUGAAAAAAAAAAACUGAACUUCUGAGACAUACAGUAACAUGGGUGAAUUCCACAAACUAAUAUUGUGCAAAAUGUAUGAUUCCAUUUUUAUAAAACUCAAGAGCAAGCAAAACUAAUCUAUAAUGAUCGAGGUCAAAAUAGUGGUUGCUUCUGGGGGAUACUGACUAGGAGGGGAAAUGAGGGAAUGUUUUAGGGACCUGGCAAUGUUCUGUAUCUUGAUCUGGAGGGUGACUGCCCCAAUGUAUACAUGUAAGUGAGGAUUCAUCAAACUGAAGUCUAAAAUUGGUGCACAUUACUGAAUGUAUGGUGUACCUCAAAAAGUUAGAGAAAAAAAGGAAACAGUUAAACAAUUUCUGGGUAUAGUGCACAGUUGUUUUUGUCCCCCUCCCCCUGCAUCCAUUCCCCCUUAAUCUGGAAAGAGCCCUACAACCUUCUUCUUUUGGGGUUGUAUCACUCCCUCUCUCAAUGUUUUAGGUGGAGCUGACUCAGCUUUAGGCACAUGACCCAGGCCCCAAAUCAGAGUGCCUUUUCCCCUAGCCACAAUGAUUAAUUCAGGGAUGAGAACAGGACUAAACCAGUUGAGGCAAUCCCAGAUAUUUUGUUGGAACUAGUGGAGAAAGGUGUUCUUUCCACUGUUGUUACUAACGUAUCAGGAUAGAAGCCUGGGGCUGCCAGUGGCCACCUUGGCACCUCUUGGAGAGAGCUUGCCUGAGAAAGGGCACACAGAGGAAAGCAGAGGGAUAGACAAUUCUUCCUGAUGAGACCAUCUCCGAGUCUGGGUCCAGCUAUCAUUGUAUGUGGAUUUUUCAUUAAGUGAAUCAAUACAUUUACCUUUUUAGCUAAUCGCUUUGAUUUGGGUUUCUAACACUUUAAUAAUUAGAGUCUACUACACUGGGAUCAUGGGAAUGGACAAAAUUAUGAGAAAAAUGGAGGGACUUGGAAUAUAAACAUUGAGCCUUGUCUCAUCUGUUUUGUGGGUGCUGCCCCUGCCCUGAGUGGCUGCUCACCCUGUGAGACCAUGGCACUGACAGGAGAUGGGUGAGGCAGGCUGCAGGGGCCAUGUGGGAGGUACUCUGGUCCUCACUCAUAAAGGGUUCCAGAGGAAGUCUAGAGAACUGGAUUCUACUCUCCAUUUUGUCAUUUCUUAGAGGCAAGACCUUGGGCAAAUCAUGAUACCUUUUUCAGCCUUGUUCCUUCUCUCCAUGGUUUUUAUUUAUUUUAUUUUUUAUUUUUUGUAGAGAUGGGAUUUCACCACGUUGGCCAGGAUGGUCUUAAACUCCCGGCCGCAAGUGAUACACCCGCCUUGGCCUCCCAAAGUGCUGGGAUUACAGAUGUGAGCCACCCUGCCUGGCCUCCUUCUCUAUAUGGAAUAUUAACUCUUAGCUCAAAGGUUGUUAUGCAGAUGAAAUGCUAGCUUUCCAACCUCUCCAGCUUUUUCAUGCCCUUGGCUGAGUCAGCUCCUGCAUCCUGGGCAUUCUUAUCAUUGUCAUCAUGAUCUUUGACUGUGUGUGAACCCCUAAGGGCAAGAAAGUGUUCAUCUCUAGGUCCCUUUACCAACAGGGCUGGCCACACAGCUGGUAGGGACUACAAAGUGGUCUUGCAGGCCGGAGGCUCACGGUAUGAUAGCCCACUCACCCCCUGCCCUUCAUUUCCUUGCUUGGUAGAUGGGGCUGAAUCUGACAUACUAGGUGGCUUAGAAGGACUCUGGGGAAUUGCUGAGGCAGUCUGAUCAUGGGAAGCUGAGAACCUCCCUUGGGGCUGUGUAGAGCCUUUCACAGCUGACCAGGAGCAGGGGCUGAGUGGCACUGAAUGGGAGCUGAGGCUGCCUGGGCCCCUUCCUCAAAUCUGGCUGUCUACAGUAAAGGAUGGACAAAGAGCUCUUGAGGCCAUAACAUUCCUUUCUUUUUUUAAAUUUUAAAAAUUAUUAUUUUUAGAGACAGGGUCUUGCUCUGUUGUCCAGGCUGGAGUACAGUGGCAUAAUCAUAGCUCACUGCUGCCUUGAACUCAUGGUUAAAGCGAUCCUCCUGCCUCACCCUUCCAGGUAGCCAGGACUACAGGAAUGCACCACCACACCUGGCUACCUUCUUUUAAAAUUUAUUAUUUAUUUAUUUUGAGACAGGAGUCUCACUCUGUCACCUAGGCUGGAGUGCAGUGGCACGAUCUUGGCUCAAUGCGACCCUCCGCCUCCCGGGUUCAAGCAAUUCUCUUGCCUCAGCCUCCCAAGUAGCUGGGACUACAGAUGUGUGCCACCAGGCGCAGCUGAUUUUCGUAUUUUUUAUAGGGACGGGGUUUUGCCAUCAUGUUGGCCAGGCUGGUCUCGAACUUCUGACCUCAGGUUAUCCACCUGCCUUGGCCUCUCAAAGUGCUUGGAUUACAGGCGUGAGCCACGGCGCCCAGCCUUCAAAUUUAUUUUUAUAAUUUUUUUUUUUUUUUAGAUAGAGUCUUGUUAUGUUGCCCUGGCUGGAGUGCAGUGGUUAUUCACAGGCAUGAUCACAGCAUACUUCAGGCUGGAACUCCUGGGCUUGAAUGGUCUUUCUGCCUUAGCCUCCUGAGCAGCUGGGACUAUAGGUGCAUGACGCCGCACCUGGCCAUAACACUCCUUCUCAGCUCAUUUUUGAGUCAUGAAAAAUGCUCUUUCAAGAAUCACCAGGCCUAUGAUAAGUCCCAUGGAACAAACCUAUCACUGUGUAAGAGCUGAGCAGGAGAAAACCAUCUCUCCUCAUACACCUCAUUUGUUCAUUCAAUAAAAAUUCAUGACACACCACUAUGGACAUCAGGAAGUAGAGAUGAAUAAGGCUGGGUCUCUGCCCUAAGUGAUUAGCCUGGAAAGCCAUACUGGACACAGUGUCCAUACUGGCCUCCUUGUCUCCUUUCCUGCCCCUCCCUGCACUCCUUUACAUAACAGCCAGAACAGUUCUCUCAAACAUAAAGCAGAUCCCCAGCUUAAACCCUUUAAAGACCUUCAUGAGGCCCUAUGUGACAGGAGAAGCAGGAGAAGGUGGUGGAUGAGAAGAUGAGGCUGUACUGAGUUCAGGGCACCUGAACUCAAGGGAGACUUUCACAGGGUGCUCGACUCUGUCCCAACUCCUAAAGUGACUACUGGGGACUACUGAGGUCUGAAUGGGGUGGGGGUGAGGGGUCAAGACAGACAUACUAGAUCCAAUGGCAAUAUGGCUCAAAACCCUAGGUCUGUUAAGUUGUAGUCUGGCCCAUGAGGGAAAUUCUUUAUUUGGAUGCUUCAGUGACCAAGAGACAGAGCAUUAG
rnacentral:lncRNA from 10 species